GACGAACGCUGGCGGCGUGCUUAACACAUGCAAGUCGAACGGAAAGGCCCUGCUUUUGUGGGGUGCUCGAGUGGCGAACGGGUGAGUAACAAGUGAGUAACCUGCCCUUGACUUUGGGAUAACUUCAGGAAACUGGGGCUAAUACCGGAUAGGAGCUCCUGCUGCAUGGUGGGGGUUGGAAAGUUUCGGCGGUUGGGGAUGGACUCGCGGCUUAUCAGCUUGUUGGUGGGGUAGUGGCUUACCAAGGCUUUGACGGGUAGCCGGCCUGAGAGGGUGACCGGCCACAUUGGGACUGAGAUACGGCCCAGACUCCUACGGGAGGCAGCAGUGGGGAAUAUUGCACAAUGGGCGGAAGCCUGAUGCAGCAACGCCGCGUGCGGGAUGACGGCCUUCGGGUUGUAAACCGCUUUCGCCUGUGACGAAGCGUGAGUGACGGUAAUGGGUAAAGAAGCGCCGGCUAACUACGUG
rnacentral:rRNA from 1 species